AGAGAGAGAGAGAGAGAGAGAGAGAGAGAGAGGGAAGAGAGGAAUAUUUAUUGCAACGUUCUCAAAGUGAUAUCAAAUUUGUUGGUUUAUUAUUUCCAUCCCAAAAUCUCAGAGUAUUAGUACGAUAAUGGACAAUGAAGAUAGACCUGUGCUUUGAUGAUAUGCUUUGAAAGCAAAGACCUAACACUAUGUGAUAAAAUUGCUAGUGCUUGGCUUGCGAAUGCACCGUGGCGUAAAAGAAAUGAUAACAGAGUGCACUAGGCAACUGAUGAUUUUCAAUCAAUGACGACGAAGAAGAAGUAAUCACCUCAGUAUUUUCAAAUAGAUAGCAAGGAAAAUGACGAGCAACACAAGUCUACUAAAUACCAUAAAAAAUCCAAGUUAAACCUUUCUUAUAAUUUACAUAACUUAUAAGUACAGUAUUAAAAAGUCCAUAAUUCUACUAUUAUAUGUGCUUUGUUAUACUAAUUAUUCACUAGGAAAUCAUUAAUAUUUUGGAGUUUAGAGAUUCAUUUAAGAGUAUUAUUUUCUCUAAGUCAUGAAAUAGACUGCUGUGAUUUCAGUGCAACGUACUUUAUUGAUAGUAAUUAUUUUUUGUAAUUAUUAUUUGUAAUUAUAUACGAAUUAUUUAAUUGAUAGUAAUUCUUUAUUGCUUUUUUAGAAAUAUUUUAAGGCUCUUGGUCCUUCGCUGCAAUUGGUCUUGUUUAAUGACGUCAGAGACGAGAAAACACAUGUCAAAAAAUACUUGCGUUAUUUAACGUUCAAAUUAAAAGAUACACUCAUAAAAAGGCUUUUGUGAUAAAUUUAGCAUACUUGUAAAAUUGUCUGCAAACUUUUCUGUUACUCCUACAAUCAUCGAUCUAAAUAGUCGCAAAAUUAACUUGACAUAAAACCUUUUUUUUGUAACCUCCCCAGACAUCAUGUCUAAAAUCGGGACAUAAGACGUCUAAAAGACUUCUUUAAGACGUCUUACAGUCGUUUUACAGUCGUUUUUAAGUAAAGCGUCUGAUAGACGUCUAAUGUCCCGAUUGUAGACAUUAUGUUGUCUGGGUCUUUUCUCACGAUUUUGGACAAUGUUAUUUUUAUGACUAUUUAUUGAUUGUCGAGUAAAGGAGAAAUGUUCGGACAAUUUCACAAGUAUACUGAAUCCAUCACAAAUGUCAUUGUGUGAGUAAAUCUUUUUGUUUAGUUCGGUUCUACAUUCGGUGUUUUAAGUCUUAAGACCGAAGUCUUAAACACCGAAUGUAGAACUGGACUUAAACGUUGCAAUUCUUUGUAUCUCGCUUUUGACGUCAUAAAAAAUCAAUUAUUUUACAGUUAAUUUAAACAUCAAACAGUUGUAGCGAAGAACGGAAGCCUUAUAAUAGUUACAAAUGUGACGAGACAAUACAAUUUAUGCAUUUGUUAUACGUUAACGAGGAAAAUUUACUUUAUGUGAUGUCACAUAUUUAAAAGUGUUAUUGUUAUAAGUUAGUAAAAUAUAUAGAGAUUAUUUUGAAGGUUGCUAGCCGCUGACAUUCUGACGACUGACCUGCUUCUCGACCUGCGUGUACGGCCGAAACUUAAUAAAAGCAUUUGCACGAUUACGUUCUCCUCCAGGACGUUACACAUGAUUAAUAUGAUUUUAGUUUAUUUAGUUAAUAUGUUAUUGUAGUUUGUGCUUUGUGACUGAAAUGUCCUUGUUGUUCCUAAGUAAACUUUCUGUACUUUUUUUUUUAUAAUAAAACAUUACUUGAUAUA